CAGCACCUCAAGUGAUCAGGAUGAUUAUUGGGCCUAAAGCAUCCGUAGCCGGCGCUGUAAGUUUUCGGUUAAAUCUGUACGCUCAACGUACAGGCUGCCGGGAAUACUGCAGCGCUAGGGAGUGGGAGAGGUAGACGGUACUCGGUAGGAAGGGGUAAAAUCCUUUGAUCUAUUGAUGACCACCUGUGGCGAAGGCGGUCUACCAGAACACGUCCGACGGUGAGGGAUGAAAGCUGGGGGAGCAAACCGGAUUAGAGACCCGAGUAGUCC
rnacentral:rRNA from 1 species